UCCGAUAUGGUGUAGUGGCUAACAUUAUCGCCUCUCAGACAUCUUCUCAAUGUGAAGAUUUGGACGCGAUAGCCCGGGGUUCAAUUCCCCGUGUCGGAA
rfam:Sphaerobolus stellatus SS14 unplaced genomic scaffold SPHSTscaffold_22, whole genome shotgun sequence.